AAGAUACUAGUAAAACCGAAUAUUACAUUGCCUUGUCAAGGCAAAAUUGCAGGUUAGAGCCCUGCGUAUCUUA
rnacentral:tRNA from 1 species